rfam:Gossypium hirsutum cultivar TM-1 chromosome 15, whole genome shotgun sequence
AAUAAAUGGUGUGGGCAUUUUUGAAUCAACACCUUGAAACAUUCCCAUGCCUCAUAAAAAAUUUCUUCCUCCAUCUGUCUAAAGAUAGUGAACUCACUUCUUAGUU